UGAGGACAGAGAAGCUAGGAGGCAAGGUGUGUUAGCUUGGGAAGUGGGACUAAAAAGUCAAAGUCUGGAGUGUCAAGAAUCCCGUACCCGACUGAGCUGGGGUUGGGGUUGAGGGGUAGAGCGGCUGCACAGUGUGGAAUCGCGUGGUGGAGACCUGAGUAUGGAGGAAACGGCGGGGCUCGCAGAACCGGAAAACUUACCUAUACCGCAGGACUCACUGAACACCCAGACCUGCUCACCUGUGAAACAUAACAAAGAGCCCUAGAAGGUGGAGAGGGAGGAGACAGUACCUAAGGAUCCAGGUAUGUUGGAGGAUUGGUGAAGGGAUGUCAAGGGAUUCAAGUGAAUGUGGAAGUGGGACAUGAAGUCACUUUUGCCGAAUUCUGUCUCACUAGAAAUAAUUCUGGAGACUUCCACGGACAAAAAACUCCUCAAGAUUAUCCUAUUGUAGAGAUGAGAAGACUUUCUACAGAAAAUUG
rnacentral:lncRNA from 1 species